rnacentral:rRNA from 1 species
UGGGGAAUAUUGCGCAAUGGGGGAAACCCUGACGCAGCAACGCCGCGUGAGUGAUGAAGGCUUUCGAGUCGUAAAACUCUGUCUUUGGGGACGAAUAAUGACGGUACCCAAGGAGGAAGCCCCGGCUAACUACGUGCCAGCAGCCGCGGUAAUACGUAGGGGGCAAGCGUUGUCCGGAAUCACUGUGCGUAAAGGGCGCGUAGGCGGUUUGUUAAGUCAGGUGUGAAAGUUUUCAGCUUAACUGGAAAAGUGCACUUGAAACUAAAUUACUUGAGUACUGGAGAGGUAAGCGGAAUUCCUAGUGUAGCGGUGAAAUGCGUAGAUAUUAGGAAGAACACCGGUGGCGAAGGCGGCUUACUGGACAGAGACUGACGCUGAGGCGCGAAAGCGUGGGGAGCGAACAG